rnacentral:rRNA from 1 species
AGCAGCCGCGGUAAUUCCAGCUCCAAUAGCGUAUAUUAAAGUUGUUGCAGUUAAAAAGCUCGUAGUUGAAUUUCGGGAUUAGUACGCUGGUCGUGCCUUCGGUAUGUACUGGUGUUACUGGUUCCUACCUUCUGACGAACCGUCGUGUCAUUAAUUUGGUGUGGCGGGGAAUCAGGACUGUUACUUUGAAAAAAUUAGAGUGUUUAAAGCAGGCUCGCGCUUGAAUACAUUAGCAUGGAAUAAUGAAAUAGGACGUUCGAUCCUAUUUUGUUGGUUUCUAGGAUUGACGUAAUGAUUAAUAGGGAUAGUUGGGGGCAUUAGUAUUCAAUUGUCAGAGGUGAAAUUCUUGGAUUUAUUGAAGACUAACUACUGCGAAAGCAUUUGCCAAGGAUGUUUUCAUUAAUCAAGAACGAAAGUUAGGGGAUCGAAGACGAUCAGAUACCGUCGUAGUCUUAACCAUAAACUAUGCCGACUAGGGAUCGGAUGAUGUUAUUUUUAAUGACUCAUUCGGCGCCUUACG